GGCUCUUUUCAGCGGCUAACGCAGAUGGAUUUGCUUUGGCAUUUAACGGUGAUGAAUGUGCCAGGUGCUAUUCAUUAGAAAUGAUUUGUUGGGGCGAGCGCAGCUCGCCUGCCCAUUAGGACGCAUUUACUUCGCAGAAGGAACCCUUGAUCUCAGCUUGAAUCUGCCGGAUGCUGAAGCGAAGCCGGUCUUUGCACCACCCAGGAAAAGGUUAAAAACAAUUUCAAUUUGCCCUCGCAGAGUUCUUUCCAGAGGAGGAACUCAAAAACACUCCAGCCGCAUCCUCGGAGUGUCACAACACCCUCCAUAAGCCCAGUAUUAUUUUAUUGAUUUUUAAACAGACACAAACACAGGCCUGGAUCUGCAAAAAGACCUUCAGUGCGUUAAAGGGGACUCGUGGGACUUUGCCACUUGUGAGCUGCCAGAUCGCCACCCUUCAGCUCCCUGCUAACAUGGCACGUAACCCUGCAGGCACCAAAACCCUGAAAGCAUCAGCGUUUGGACUCCAGGGUAGCCCCGUUGCCUGGAAGUUGGGCCUGGCCCCACCUGGAGACAUCUGUAUGGAGAAAUCUGAGCAGCACGGGGUUGCCUCGUGCUGAUGACUUGCACGGAUCCAGUGUUUUUCCUAAAAUGUCUGCUCUAGCCCCUCUUUCACCUUGUACCAUCUCCCGUGUGAGAUCUUUCCCUCUUGUGUCACCCUGAGUUUCUGGGGCCACGUGGGGAGCUCCAGCAGGAGAGGUGGGACCCAGGAGCUGUGUUACUGCACGGUCUGCACCCCAGGUUUGGCUCUGGAAGCUCUUUGCUGCCUUUUAAACCAUCUGAAGUGGUUAAAAUCCUGCCCAGGACUUCAAAUUAUGUACAGUCAGUGCAACAAGCCAGCGUGGCUGCCUGAGCGGGGAAGCAAGGAGGAGGUUAUCUGACUUUGAUCCCUUCACCAGACCUCGAGGACAUGGCUCCUAAGGCUUGUGUACGCUGCAGCCUUUUUCCUUCUGAUCAAAAAGAUGCAUUCUGCACUCUGAGAGGCCUCAGACAUCAGCAGAAACUGCGCUAGGAGCAGCCAUCCAGUACGGCACGCCUCGGGCUGCAGAAAUGCUCUGACUCAGGCAAUCUGCAGCCCUACAGAUGUCUCCCAUGUCCUGCAUCACAGAGGAACGAGGUUCAGCUGAUGCACGCUUGGGGACUAAUAGGGCAGUGCGUCUAUAAUUAGCCGGAGCUUUAAACUUCUGGAGCCGUUUCCCCUCGGGAUGGGGCUCUGAGGAAGAAACCCCUCCAACGCGGCACGUUACACGCCGCAGACAUUUGGAUUGAGCAAGUUUUAAGAAUGAGUCAGAGAGAUUUCCUAACACCUCUUUGUCCCCAUGAUCCCCGGAUAACAAACAUCAGCUCUGAAGGACAGAAAAGCCCCGUUCCUGCCUCACCCCAUCCAGAGCCAGCCUGGGGUCGAUGGGGAUUCGGUGCCCCCCUGCCCAAAAGUUGGGAGUUUCCCUCUGCAAGCUUCAAUUACCCUCAACUACUACUGAGAUUAGGGCUCCCUAAAAAUACUACAUAACUUAACAGAGCCUGAUUUUGCUGUUUCAUUCUUCCCAAUCCCUCUUUCUGCAGUGACAACAGCUCCACUGGAGCAAUCCUACUGUUUGCUCUUGGCCCCUACAAGACCCCACAGCAUCUCCCUGGGGAACCAGCUCCAGCUGGAGCAGGGCAAGGUCUCCCACAGCAUCCUCCACCUCCCAGCUGCUCUGCUGGGGGCUCGAGGCCCCAUGGGGCUGUGCUGUCCUCGCCCACGGGGCGCUUGGUCAGAGGGAAAAAGCCCCAGCACCCCGGGAGGUGUUUUGUUGCUCGGCCUUAAUAGUUAAAGGGAGGAAAAAAAAAAUGCAAGGGGCUAUUGAAACCAGAGACCCGUCAGCAUUUCCAGGCCAUUCAUCUGCCUCUUUCAGUUCCUUUGCUUUCCUUUUAAUGUAUGUAGAUGGAGAAUGCAAAUACCAACGUGAGAAAACUGACCUUUUGGCUGAAUGUCACCAAGUUCUGCAGCAGUGGGAGUGUUUGCAUUCGGUCGUUAGCUUUAGCCUGUACAAUUAUUUAUAUAUAUCACUGUAAGGCUCGGCGGGAUGACUCAAAAAAUGCUCUUGACCUUGGUUGUUCUGCUGGUUUGAUGGGCUGCAGCCCUGAAAUGUUGGGCUGCUCACAGCAGUGCUAGCUUUAGAAAUGAGCCACCCCGAGCACCGAC